UAGUUCACAGAAUGCUUUCAUGGUUUAUUUCAUUUACAGAUGGUGUACCUCUUAUCCAAAAUGUUGGGGACCAGAAGUUUUUAGAUUUGGGAUUUUUUUAAAAAAAUAUUUACAAAAUACCUAAUGAGAUAUCUUAGGGAUGGGGCCCAAGUCUAAACAUGAAAUUCAUUUAUAUUUCAUAUACAAUUAUACACAAUCCUAAAGGUAAUUUUUUUUUUACUUUUUUCCCUACAUGUUUUUUUUAUUGGUGCGUUAUUGUUGUACACACUGAUGGUAUUUGUUGUUACAUAUUUAUACAUGCAUACAAUAUACAAUGUAACAAUAUAAUUUUGCCAAUAUCACUCCCCAGCAUUUCCUCCCUCCUCCCCUAUCCCACUCCUUGGUCCCUUUCUUCUACUGACUUCCCUUUGAUUUUCCUGAGAUCUGCCCCCACCUUUCUUUUCCUUUUUUCUCUCUACUUCUCCAUAUGAAAGAAAACAUACAACUGUUAACCUUCUGAUUUUGACUUAUUUAGCUUAACAUAAUGAUCUCUAGUUCCAUCUAUUUUCCUGAAAAUGCCAUAAUUCCAUUUUUCUUUGUGGUUGAAUAAAACUCCAUUGUGUGUGUGUGUGUAUAUAUAUAUAUAUAUAUAUAUAUAUAUAUAUAUAUAUAUAUAUAUACACACACACACACACACACACACACAUCCCACAUUUUAAAAAUAUAUUCAUCUAGGCUGGUUCCACAGUUUGGCUAUUGUGAGUUGUGCUGCUAUAAACAUGGGUAUGCAUAUAUCACUGUAGUAUGAUGACUUUGAUUCUGCAGUAUAAAUCCAAGGAGUGGUAUAGCUGGGUCAUUUGGUGGUUCCAUUCCUAGCCUUUUGAGGAACUUCCAUAAUGAUUUCCAUAGUGGUUGAACUAAUUUGCAGUCCCACCAACAGUGUAAAAGUAUUCUUUUUUCUCCACAUCCUCUCCAGAAUUUAUUAUUAUUUGUAUUCUUGAUGGCUGCCAUUCUGACUGGUGUGAGAUGAAAUCUCAGUGUAGUUUUGAUUUGCAUUUCCCUAACUGAACUUAAAGUCAUUG
rnacentral:lncRNA from 1 species